rnacentral:rRNA from 1 species
GUCGAGAAUCUUUCACAAUGGGGGCAACCCUGAUGGAGCGACGCCGCGUGGAGGAUAAGGUCUUCGGAUUGUAAACUCCUGUCAUGCGUGAACAAGGUUGCUUGGUUAAUACCUGGGCAAAUUGAUGGUAACGCAAGAGGAAGAGACGGCUAACUCUGUGCCAGCAGCCGCGGUAAUACAGAGGUCUCAAGCGUUGUUCGGAAUCACUGGGCGUAAAGGGUGCGUAGGUGGCGUGGUAAGUCAGAUGUGAAAGCCCGAGGCUCAACCUCGGAACUGCAUCCGAUACUGCCAUGCUAGAGUACUGGAGAGGUGACUAGAAUUCUCGGUGUAGCAGUGAAAUGCGUAGAUAUCGAGAGGAAUACCAAAGGCGUAGGCAGGUCACUGGACAGUUACUGACACUGAGGCACGAAGGCCAGGGGAGCGAACGGGAUUAGAAACACUAGUAGUCC